rnacentral:lncRNA from 1 species
AUCAUCUUCAGUCAAUAUUUAGUCCCUCAAAGGUAUAUGGAAUUAAACAAAAAUAAAAGGAAAAAUAAAUUAAAAUAAAAAAAGAAAAAGAAAGGAUUUCUUAUUUCCCACGGAAUUGGUGCAGGCAGCGCAUGCAGUCUCAAAUGGACCCAUUCAAUUUAGCCACGGCUUUUAUAAUUGGCUUUUUUUUUUGUCUGUUCUUCAAAC